CCUACGGGUGGCAGCAGUGAGGAAUAUUGGUCAAUGGACGCGAGUCUGAACCAGCCAAGUAGCGUGCAGGAUGACGGCCCUAUGGGUUGUAAACUGCUUUUAUAUGGGAAUAAAAUGAGACACGUGUGGGUGUUUGUAUGUAUCAUAUGAAUAAGGAUCGGCUAACUCCGUGCCAGCAGCCGCGGUAAUACGGAGGAUUCGAGCGUUAUCCGGAUUUAUUGGGUUUAAAGGGAGCGUAGGUGGAUGGUUAAGUUAGAUGUGAAAGUCUGCGGCUCAACCUUGAAAUUGCAGUUGAAACUGGCAGUCUUGAGUACAGUAGAGGUAGGCGGAAUUCGUGGUGUAGCGGUGAAAUGCUUAGAUAUCACGAAGAACUCCGAUUGCGAAGGCAGCUCACUGGGCUGCAACUGACGCUGAGGCUCGAAAGUGUGGGUAUCAAACAGGAUUAGAUACCCGGGUAGUC
rnacentral:rRNA from 1 species